rnacentral:rRNA from 1 species
GUCUUUUUGCGUACUACUUGUUCCUUGGCGGGUCCGCCCGCCAAUUGGACCUUAUUCAAACCUUUUUUUCAGUUGCAAUCAGCGUCAGCAAAACAAAUGUAAUCAAUUACAACUUUCAACAACGGAUCUCUUGGUUCUGGCAUCGAUGAAGAACGCAGCGAAAUGCGAUAAGUAGUGUGAAUUGCAGAAUUCAGUGAAUCAUCGAAUCUUUGAACGCACAUUGCGCCCUUUGGUAUUCCAAAGGGCAUGCCUGUUCGAGCGUCAUUUGUACCCUCAAGCUUUGCUUGGUGUUGGGCGUCUUGUCUCUCUCCCGAGACUCGCCUUAAAAUCAUUGGCAGCCGGCCUACUGGUUUCGGAGCGCAGCACAUUAUUUGCGCUCUUGUCCAGCCGCGGUCGCGCGUCCAUGAAGCUUCUUUCAACCUUUUGACCUCGGAUCAGGUAGGGAUACCCGCUGAACUUAAGCAUAUCAAUAAGCGGAGGAAAAGAAACCAACAGGGAUUGCCCCAGUAACG